rnacentral:rRNA from 1 species
CUCAACCUGGGAAUGGCAUUCGAUACUGUCCAGCUAGAGUCUGGUAGAGGGAAGUGGAAUUUCCGGUGUAGCGGUGAAAUGCGUAGAUAUCGGAAGGAACACCAGUGGCGAAGGCGACUUCCUGGACCAAGACUGACGCUGAGGUGCGAAAGCGUGGGUAGCAAACAGGAUUAGAUACCCUGGUAGUCCACGCCGUAAACGAUGAGAACUAGCCGUUGGACCCAUUUAAGGGUUUAGUGGCGCAGCUAACGCAAUAAGUUCUCCGCCUGGGGAGUACGGCCGCAAGGCUAAAACUCAAAGGAAUUGACGGGGGCCCGCACAAGCGGUGGAGCAUGUGGUUUAAUUCGAUGCAACGCGAAGAACCUUACCUGCCCUUGACAUCCUCGGAACUUGGUAGAGAUACCUUGGUGCCUUCGGGAGCCG